rnacentral:rRNA from 1 species
GAUGAACGCUAGCGGCAGGCUUAAUACAUGCAAGUCGUGGGGCAGCAUGACUGUAGCAAUACAGUUGAUGGCGACCGGCAAACGGGUGCGGAACACGUACACAACCUUCCUUUAAGUGGGGAAUAGCCCAGGGAAACUUGGAUUAAUACCCCGUAACAUAUAGAAGUGGCAUCACUUUUAUAUUAUAGCUCCGGCGCUUAAAGAUGGGUGUGCGGCUGAUUAGAUAGGUGGCGGGGUAACGGCCCACCAAGUCGACGAUCAGUAACUGGUGUGAGAGCACAACCAGCCACACGGGCACUGAGACACGGGCCCGACUCCUACGGGAGGCAGCAGUAAGGAAUAUUGGUCAAUGGACGCAAGUCUGAACCAGCCAUGCCGCGUGGAGGAUGAAGGUCCUCUGGAUUGUAAACUUCUUUUAUCUGGGAAGAAACCCAUCUUUUCUUGGGUGGUUGACGGUACCAGAUGAAUAAGCACCGGCUAACUCCGUGCCAGCAGCCGCAGUAAGAC